rnacentral:rRNA from 1 species
CAGCAGCCGCGGUAAUACGAAGGGUGCAAGCGUUACUCGGAAUUACUGGGCGUAAAGCGUGCGUAGGUGGUGGUUUAAGUCCGUUGUGAAAGCCCUGGGCUCAACCUGGGAAUUGCAGUGGAUACUGGGUCACUAGAGUGUGGUAGAGGAUAGUGGAAUUUCCGGUGUAGCAGUGAAAUGCGUAGAGAUCGGAAGGAACAUCUGUGGCGAAGGCGACUAUCUGGGCCAUUACUGACACUGAGGCACGAAAGCGUGGGGAGCAAACAGGAUUAGAUACCCCGGUAGUCCCUGUCUCUUAUAC